rnacentral:lncRNA from 1 species
GAACAUGUAGGGAAUUUGUAUUAUUAAGUUUACAGAGAGCAUCUGAAUUUUUUCAGCAUCUAGAUCAGAACCAAACUAGAUAACAGACAUACAAUAAGGCAGGUGGUGAAAAAGAUAAAGCAAAGACACUUGGAAAAGACAAAUUUAAGUACGAGGAGCUCUAGAUGCUUAACCGAAAAAUAACGGAGAUAUUGCAGGUUUAAAUAGUAGCUAGGAAAAAAACUCACAUCUCUGUCGAAAGCCGAAACUCCAGCAUUGGGUUGCAGCCACACUCAGUCUCGUUCUGAAAUCAGACUGAAUUUGCGGUAGGUGUAAGACAGGACAGCAGCCUCAUCCAAUUAUAUUCACCUAUAAAGUCAUACUAAGUUUCUGUCUAUAAAUGAGAAAAAAGAAAGUAUUAUUGAUCUUUAGAAAAGCAUAAUGUUAAAGAUUGAGAAGUCAAUCAAGAAGAUUUGAAUUGAUUGUAUAA